rnacentral:rRNA from 1 species
ACGCCGCGUGCGGGAAGAAGGCCUUCGGGUUGUAAACCGCUGUCGGGAGUUAGGAAGUGCAAGGAUGUUAAUAGCGUUCUUGCUUGACUAAGGCUCCGGAGGAAGCCACGGCUAACUCUGUGCCAGCAGCCGCGGUAAUACAGAGGCGGCAAGCGUUGUUCGGAAUUAUUGGGCGUAAAGAGCACGUAGGCGGCUGUGUAAGUCGGUUGUGAAAGCCUUCCGCUUAACGGAAGAACGGCAUCCGAUACUGCAUGGCUUGAGUGUGGGAGGGGAGAGUGGAACUUCUGGUGGAGCGGUGAAAUGCGUAGAUAUCAGAAGGAACACCGGCGGCGAAGGCGACUCUCUGGUCCAUAACUGACGCUGAGUGUGCGAAAGCUAGGGGAGCAAACGGGAUUAGAUACCCCGGUAGCUAGCCGUAAACGAUGGGCACUAAGUAGAGGGGUUUUAUU